UGCAGUCGUACGAGAAGCCUCUUCGGAGGUGAGUAAAGUGGCGCACGGGUGAGUAACGCGUGGGUAAUCUGCCCUUAGGUUUGGGAUAACCCCGGGAAACCGGAGCUAAUACCGAAUGAGACCACGAUGACUUCGGUCGAUGUGGGAAAAGGUGGCCUCUUCUUGAAAGCUACCGCCGAAGGAUGAGCCCGCGUUUGAUUAGCUUGUUGGUGAGGUAAAGGCUCACCAAGGCUCCGAUCAAUAGCUGGUCUGAGAGGACGAUCAGCCACACUGGAACUGAGACACGGUCCAGACUCCUACGGGAGGCAGCAGUCGGGAAUAUUGGGCAAUGGGCGAAAGCCUGACCCAGCAACGCCGCGUGAAGGAUGAAGGCCUUCGGGUCGUAAACUUCUGUCGAGAGGGAAGAAUUGCGUACGGUCAAUAUCCGUGCGUUUGACGGUACCUCCAAAGGAAGCACCGGCUAACUCCGUG
rnacentral:rRNA from 1 species